rnacentral:lncRNA from 1 species
UUUUUUGGUUCAUUAAACCUGAAUUUAUAUUCUCAGAGACCUCCAAGAUUUAAAGAUUGAAGACCACCACUUUUCAGAGUUUUAUCCUCCUUUCAAGGUUUUCUUGCUAUUUGUCCUACUACAUUCUCCUUUUACAAACUAUAAUUUUGUUCAAAGAAACAGUUCUCUGUUUGCAUGAUAUGCAUUCAAAAAUGAUGACUCGGCUUACAUAUUAUGGAACUUAGCAAUAAGGCUACUUUAAGAGUUCUUUUUCAAUGUGAUACUGUUGGCUUUUGUAGGUUACACAAAUUUAGGCUUUGUAGGUGACACAAAUUUGGUUAAUCAUUUCUAUGUAUGUUUUUGGUAUUUUGGUGACUAUCAUGUUAAUAAUUUUUUUUGGGAACGAUGAUUGAACUAAAUGUUCUGUAUUGCUUUCUUUCUCAUUUUGUUGGGUAAUAGAAGAAAUGAACAUGAAUGUGAACUUAGGAGCUUUGAAUAUUUGAAUUGCAUACAAAAGAUGAUAAAUGGUUACACUUUUUGAAAUUUUGUUUAUGUGUGAGGAAAAUAACUUUGUAGUGACUUUUUUGAUCUUUAUUAUAGUAAAAAUAUUUUUGAAGCUGCUGCAUCUUGUUCUUUUAGCUCCAUACAGUGAAUUUUGGCAAUUAUGUGAACAUAUGGAUACAGAAAAU